ACGCUCGACACCUACGGAGGCAGCAGUCGGGAAUAUUGCGCAAUGGAGGGAACUCUGACGCAGUGACGCCGCGUAUAGGAAGAAGGUUUUCGGAUUGUAAACUAUUUUAGACAGGGAAGAAUAAAGACAGUACCUGUAGAAUAAGCUCCGGCUAACUACGUCNCNCAGCGCGUAGUAUNGNGGCGNGNGAGAG
rnacentral:rRNA from 1 species